rnacentral:rRNA from 1 species
AACGAACGCUGGCGGCGCGCCUAAUACAUGCAAGUCGAGCGAGAAGACGUAGCAAUACGUUUGUAAAGCGGCGAACGGGUGAGGAAUACAUGGGUAACCUACCCUCGAGUGGGGAAUAACUAGCCGAAAGGUUAGCUAAUACCGCGUACGCUCCUUGGACUUCGGUUCAGGGAGGAAAGCGAUACCGCGGGUAUCGCGCUCUUGGAUGGGCUCAUGUCCUAUCAGCUUGUUGGUGAGGUAACGGCUCACCAAGGCUUCGACGGGUAGCUGGUCUGAGAGGACGAUCAGCCACACUGGCACUGCGACACGGGCCAGACUCCUACGGGAGGCAGCAGUAAGGAAUAUUGCGCAAUGGGCGAAAGCCUGACGCAGCGACGCCGCGUGGGGGAUGAAGGUCUUCGGAUUGUAAACCCC